AAUUCUCAACUCCAAUCGAUUUGUUUCGAUCCUGGAGCUUGGACUUGGAGCGUGCUGGCGUAUAGUCGGCUCCUCUCAAAUGCAUCGGCGGAAUUGAACCUUUGAUUUCCGGAUGUCAGUGUGAUAACCAAUGUUGCGCUGUCGACCGGGGUCGGAGUCCGCUUACAAUCGUCCUCGGGACAAAGACACCUUAUCAA
rnacentral:misc_RNA from 1 species